CUCAGUAAAUGCAGAUUGUUGAGCUGUGUUUUUGCCUGAAACAAGGCUGCUGUUAAAACACUCUGGAGCUCUGCAAGUGAAGUUACAGGUUACAGCAUGCCAAAGGGAAGGAAUUUACAAUUACCUAUCAAUCCCUGAAGUAGAAGUAAAAACCACAGCUCCUCGAGGCUCCCUUAACAGGCAAGUAAAAACAUGGAAUAUGUUUGGAUAACAUAUCUUGAAGAAGCACAAUCAGAGAGAAGGUGACCAUUCUUUCUCUGAGUAACAGUUUAUGCUUUUUCUCACUGUCCUAAUGUACCAGGGACAAUCUCAUUAAAGAGGCUGAUGAAGAUUUAUUGUAACAGUGAUUGGAAAACACAAGUUCCAACCAUGGCCAGUUAAUCCCUACAGGAAAAAUGGAGAGGAACUUGUAAAUUUACAAGACCAUGUAGUGACAUGAAAAGGGGGGAAUGGCUUCAAACUGAAACAGAAAAGAUUAGGUAUUAGAAAGAAAUUCUUUAUUAUCAGAGUUGCAAGGCACUAGAACAGGUUGCCUGGAUGCUCCUUCCCUGGAAGUGUUCAAGACCAGGCUGGAUGGAGCUCUGAGUAACCUGGCUUAAUGGAAGGUGUCCCUGCCCAGGGGACAGGGCAGGGGGUUGGAACAAGAUUAUCUUUAAGAUCCCUUCCAAUCCCAGCCAUUCUGUGAUUCUAUGCUAUUCAUCCUGGCCUCACAGGAACCCCAUGGACCAUGAGCUGUCCCUUACCACCUGAAUUUUUAUACUAAUCUCCAAAGGGGAGAGAAAUACAGACAUAGAGCUCAGUGCAAAGACAUAAAGGUAGCUCCCAACUAGCAACUCCAGCCAUCUGCCUUAAAAACCAUCUACUGAAUUCCUUAUUUUGUGCUAUAAUGGCAUGGAUUUCCAUGCAGUAGAUUUUAUCUGUUGCUAUCAGGCAGCCAGAAUGCCAGCUCCAAGGGACAGCAACCCUUGAGAUGAGAAAGCAGGACCUGGAUCAGGCUUGCAUGAACCUGUGUUUGUUCUGUAAACACGGUGCUCCAACCUAAUGUGCCUCUCCAGACUAUCCUGAUGAUUAUUAUCACUGGCAUGGAUUUUCUUCAGCUCCCUUACUGUUAAGGGAGAGGAUGACUAAGUAACUUGAAGCACUGACACUGAGACAGUGGAGCACCCAGGCAGUACUUCCUUCUGCAAUACAUCAUUCUGAACUGCAAGGAUUCUUGGUUCAAGUGCAGAGGCAGAAAGCUACAAAGUACACACCCAGCACACAGGGCUGCUCUGAACAGAUCAGACCUGCUGUGAAGGGGAACCCCAGCAACAGGAAUGGGCAACAGGCAGGAACUUGAGCUGCCUUGUAUUUCCUACUGGAUCAGCUACAAAACAAAUGAAAUUACUCUGAGGUCCAGAAGAACAUUUUCCCUCCACUGGUCUGAUUUAUUAAGAAAAAAAAAAGGGGGGAAGGUUUUCUAUAUAUUAAAGAGAAAGAAAAUUUAACAGAAGUCUUCUCACAUGGUUUGCCAAUAGCCUUUUGAAAUGAAAGAGUCAUAUAGAUACCCACAAACUUUCACACCUUAAAUCCAAACUUCUCCCAUAUGACAGUGCAAGGUGUU